CAACAUAACCCAGAAGAAGAGGGUGAGACCAGCAGACAGAGGAGUCCAGGUAUCAUCUUGAUGAUGCCUUGAUUUGGACAUUUUCAUGGCCUCAGAACAAUAAGCCCCUGUCGUUGAAGGGGACAGCAACUUUAAACUGAAUGAAGAGGAAGUCACAUUGCCCUAUGGAAAGGCAAUUUUCCUUCAACCCUGGUUUUGGAGAAAUUCCAUUCCUUCUUUCCACACUGCCUCUCCUUGUGCCAACUACGAAAACAUAUCUGAUUUGCAGACCUAACAUCC